rnacentral:rRNA from 1 species
UACGUAGGGUGCGAGCGUUGUCCGGAAUUAUUGGGCGUAAAGAGCUCGUAGGCGGCUUGUCGCGUCGGAUGUGAAAGCCCGGGGCUUAACUCCGGGUCUGCAUUCGAUACGGGCAGGCUAGAGUUCGGUAGGGGAGAUCGGAAUUCCUGGUGUAGCGGUGAAAUGCGCAGAUAUCAGGAGGAACACCGGUGGCGAAGGCGGGUCUCUGGGCCGAAAUUGACGCUGAGGCGCGAAAGCGUGGGGAGCAAACAGG